GUCAGAGCGACUGGAUCGUCCUCAGAUCUGCGAUAGAGACGUUCGCUGUGACUGUAAAGGAGAUCGCUCAGCUCCUGCAGCGCUUUGGGUCAGAACUGUCAGAGACUGAACUCCCUGAUGAACCUGGAGCCAUCGACUUCCUGCUGAACUCUCACACACACCGAUACAGGCAGAUGAAGGAUGACAUCAGAGGCGUGCUGAAGGAGGGCCGUCUGCUGUUUUCAAAUCUGGAAACUGUCAAAGCCUCAAAGAAAAGUUCAGAAAACCAAAGGGAAAUGCAGUCAGACAUGGAGACUGUACAAAGGCUGCUGGCUCAGCUGAGAGACAUGGAGGAGGCAUUUGACGGUUUCUUUGAAAAACACCACUUAAAACUACAACAGUAUCUUCAGCUGCUGCACUAUGAGA
ensembl:lncRNA